GAUGAACGCUGGCGGCGUGCCUAAUACAUGCAAGUCGAGCGAACAGACGAGGAGCUUGCUCCUCGGACGUUAGCGGCGGACGGGUGAGUAACACGUGGAUAACCUACCUAUAAGACGGGGAUAACUUCGGGAAACCGGAGCUAAUACCGGAGAAUAUAUUGAACCGCAGGGGGGGAUAGUGAAAGACGGUGGUGCUGGCACGUAUAGAUGGAUCCGCGCCGCAUUAGCUAGUUGGUAAGGUAACGGCUUACCAAGGCAACGAGGCGUAGCCGAGCUGAGAGGGUGAUCGGCCACCCUGGAACUGAGCCACGCUCCAGACUCCUACGGGAGGGCGCAGUAGGGAAUCUUCCGCAAUGGGCGGAAGCCUGACGGAGCAACCCCGCGUGUGUGAUGAAGGUCUUCGGAUCGUAAAGCUCUGUUAUUAGGGAAGAACAAAUGUGUCAGUAACUAUGCACGUCUUGACGGUACCUAAUCAGAAAGCCACGGCUAACUACGUG
rnacentral:rRNA from 1 species